rnacentral:rRNA from 1 species
GACGAACGCUGGCGGCGUGCUUAACACAUGCAAGUCGAACGGAAAGGCCCUGCUUUUGUGGGGUGCUCGAGUGGCGAACGGGUGAGUAACACGUGAGUAACCUGCCCUUGACUUUGGGAUAACUUCAGGAAACUGGGGCUAAUACCGGAUAGGAGCUCCAGCUGCAUGGUGGGGGUUGGAAAGUUUCGGCGGUUGGGGAUGGACUCGCGGCUUAUCAGCUUGUUGGUGGGGUAGUGGCUUACCAAGGCUUUGACGGGUAGCCGGCCUGAGAGGGUGACCGGCCACAUUGGGACUGAGAUACGGCCCAGACUCCUACGGGAGGCAGCAGUGGGGAAUAUUGCACAAUGGGCGGAGGCCUGAUGCAGCAACGCCGCGUGCGGGAUGACGGCCUUCGGGUUGUAACCCGCUUUCGCCUGUGACGAAGCGUGAGUGACGGUAAUGGGUAAAGAAGCACCGGCUAACUACGUG